ensembl:misc_RNA Metazoa_SRP Metazoan signal recognition particle RNA
GCCAGGCGUGGUGGCACGUGCCUGUAGUCCUGUAGUCCCAGCUACUCAGGAGGCCGAGGUGGGAGGAUCACUUGAGCCCAUGAGUUCUGGGCUGUAGAGUGCUAUGCCGAUCGGGUGUCCACACCAAGUUCGGCAUCAAUAUGGUGACCUCGCAGGAGCGGGGGACCACCAGGUUGCUUAAGGAGGGGUGAACCGGCCCAGGUGGGAAACGGGAUAAGUCAAAACUCCUGUGCGGGGCCGGGCGUGGUGGCUCACACCUGUAAUCCAAGCGCUUUGGAGGCCAAGGUGGGCAGAUCACCUGAGGUCGGAGUUUAAGACCAGCCUGACCAACGUGGUGAAACCACGUCUUUAAAAAAAACAAAAAACAAAAAGAACUCCUGUGCUGAUCAGCAGUGGGAUUGCGCCUGUGACUGUACUCCAGCCUGGGCAACAUAGUGAGACCUCGUCUCUU